rnacentral:tRNA from 1 species
GGGCGCAUAGCUCAGUGGUAGAGCAAGUGCCUUUUAAGCAUUUGGUCGUAGGUUCAAAUCCUACUGCGCCCACCA